CUACAGGGGUAUCUAAUCCUGUUUGCUCCCCACGCUUUCGCACCUCAGCGUCAGUUGUGGACCAGUCAGCCGCCUUCGCCACUGGUGUUCCUGCGAAUAUCUACGAAUUUCACCUCUACACUCGCAAUUCCACUGACCUCUUCCACACUCAAGACACCCAGUAUCAAAGGCAGUUCCGAGGUUGAGCCCCGGGAUUUCACCCCUGACUUAAAUGUCCGCCUACGUGCGCUUUACGCCCAGUAAUUCCGAACAACGCUAGCCCCCUUCGUAUUACCGCGGCGGCUGGCAC
rnacentral:rRNA from 1 species